GCAUAUCAAUAAGCGGAGGAAAAGAAACCAACAGGGAUUGCCCUAGUAACGGCGAGUGAAGCGGCAACAGCUCAAAUUUGAAAUCUGGCCCUCGGGUCCGAGUUGUAAUUUGUAGAGGAUGCUUUUGGUGCGGUGCCUUCCGAGUUCCCUGGAACGGGACGCCAUAGAGGGUGAGAGCCCCGUCUGGUUGGACGCCAAUCCUCUGUAAAGCUCCUUCGACGAGUCGAGUAGUUUGGGAAUGCUGCUCUAAAUGGGAGGUAUAUGUCUUCUAAAGCUAAAUACCGGCCAGAGACCGAUAGCGCACAAGUAGAGUGAUCGAAAGAUGAAAAGCACUUUGAAAAGAGAGUUAAAAAGUACGUGAAAUUGUUGAAAGGGAAGCGCUUAUGACCAGACUUGGGCUUGGUAGAUCAACCUGGGUUCUCCCUGGUGCACUCUUCCUCGUCCAGGCCAGCAUCAGUUCGCUGCGGGGGAUAAAGGUUUCGGGAAUGUGGCUCCCUCGGGAGUGUUAUAGCCCGUUGCGUAAUACCCUGUGGUGGACUGAGGUUCGCGUUCUGCAAGGAUGCUGGCGUAAUGGUCAUCAGUGACCCGUCUUGAAACACGGACCAAGGAGUCGUCUUCGUAUGCGAGUGUUCGGGUGUUAAACCCCUACGCGUAAUGAAAGUGAACGCAGGUGAGAGCUUCGGCGCAUCAUCGACCGAUCCUGAUGUUCUCGGAUGGAUUUGAGUAAGAGCAUACGGGGCCGGACCCGAAAGAAGGUGAACUAUGCCUGUAUAGGGUGAAGCCAGAGGAAACUCUGGUGGAGGCUCGCAGCGGUUCUGACGUGCAAAUCGAUCGUCAAAUAUGGGCAUGGGGGCGAAAGACUAAUCGAACCUUCUAGUAGCUGGUUUCCGCCGA
rnacentral:rRNA from 1 species